rnacentral:tRNA from 1 species
GGCUCAAUGGUCUAGUCGUAUGAUUCGCGCUUCGGGUGCGCGAGGUCCCGGGUUCAAUUCCCGGUUGAGCCC